rnacentral:snRNA from 1 species
CCCUUAGCAAAUUUGACCAAAAGAAAGAAGAUCAACAUGACCCCUUCACAAGGAUGACAUACGAAUUCAUGAAGCAUUCCAUAUUUUU